AAAAAAAAGAAAGAAGAAGAAAGAAGAAGAAGUUUGCCAUUCAGUCACGAGUUACAGUCAGACUCAGUACUAGUUUCAACAGCCUACAGUUAGCAAAGUCAUCGACUACCAUCGUUUAACUUCGGUUUUUGGCAAUCAAGUGUGGGAGGGACCUCAAGACAACUGUGUGGCGAAUGCUUGAGAGUAUCUUCUCUAAUCGCCUUUCCAUUAACACAACCUGGACUGGUGCAGGGGAAAAAGCAUGUUUUAGAGACAUGUUCCUGAAGACCAUUGUUCAAAGAGCCAUCCGGAAGAACUCGGCAACCCAGGAUGCCACUGAUGAGGCGAUCCAGGUUAACGUUACGCGUUACCUGAAAGGAGCAGCUGACCGUGAAGGUGGAAAAAGGCGCCGCACAGCUGAGAGGGACCCACAGCCGACCCCUCAAACCUAGGCUGACUACCGACACCCCUGCUAAAAGUGUCAGACUAAACUCACUCAAUCCACACUCUUCACUAGAAAUUGCUGUUUUUUUUUUUAUUUUUCCCCAUCUCGUGACCCUGCCUUCAGGGCAGCUCCUUGGAUGAAUAUGGGAU